AUGUUCCACCUGUCCAGGGAGAGGCAGGGAUGGCCCCUCAGGCACCAGGCUGCAGCCCAGAGAGGAGAGCUCAUGUUCCAGGCUGACUUCCUGCUGGGUCCCGGGGCCCACAGCGCCACCUACCGCUGCUAUGGCUCUUUCAGUGGUUCCCGGCAUGUGUGGACAGCCCCGAGUGACCCCGUCCACCUCUCGGUCACAGGAUCCGCGCCCAGCAGCAGCCUGAUGCCUCCUCCCACUGACCGGAGCCUCAACCCUGACGCCCGCAGACGCCCGUGGAUCCUGACCGCGCUGUGGGCACCCCUCGUCCUGCUCACACUCAUCUUGGUCCUCGUCAUCCUCGCGCAGCGUUGGCGCUCGGCCAGGAAGCGGCGUGGGAGCUCGGAUGCGGGUGGGCAGGGCUGCAUGGGCUCCCCAGACGCAGGUGCAUCCACGCAGAAGCGCGGACCUAAGGCUGACGAGGCAGACCCGCGGGCUGAGGAGGCCCUGGAGCUGACCUACACCGAGCUGGACCACUGGGUGUCCACACAGAAGAGAGAUGCCACCACGACCCAGAGGUACAGCACCCCCCAGGCCCACGGCUGUGUGUAUGCUGAGCUAGCAAAGCGUUGAGCCACCUGGCGUCUUCUCAGCCCCAGACCCACGGGGUGGGGAGCACAGCAGAGGAACCCUAAGAGCUAAGUCUCCCUGGAGUGGACACUACCAGGCCCAGCCACCCUCCACACACGUUCCCCAGAGACUGCAGGACUGCACAAUGCAGUGACACACACACACGUCGAAUUACAGCCCUGCUGUGCACAGCAGUGGAGCUGUGGAAACAGUCUACAUGCCCAUCAGCAGAGGAACAGAUAAAGAAAAUGUGACCUGUAUGUGUGCACCGUGGAAUAGUACUCAGCCCCAAAGAACAAUGAAAACACCUCACUUGUAAAACAGUUGCUGGAUCCAGAACUCAUAGUGUUACAUGAGAUUAUCCAGAGAAAUUUAACAUCUGAUGAAUUCUUUUAAUGAGAAACUUAAAAAUACAUACAUAAAUAAAUAAUUUAAUAAAGGAGAGAAGACAGGAAGCCAGGAGGUAAAUUCCAGGGAUUUGGGAGGGGGUGCCUGAGGCAGGGGCCCAGGAGCCUGUAUCCAGCCAGGGCAACUUAAAGAGACUCUGUCUCAAAAUGUAAAAAAAGAUUUAAAAGGUUGGAGCAAAAAUAAAAUAUGGAUAGAAGGAAACAG
rnacentral:lncRNA from 1 species